rfam:Stegodyphus mimosarum contig99183, whole genome shotgun sequence.
GCCUUCGUGGUGUAGUGGUUAGCACGCUGGGCACGUAUUCCACAGGUCCGUGGUUCGAGUCCCGGCGAAGGCG